GACGAACGCUGGCGGCGUGCUUAACACAUGCAAGUCGAACGGAAAGGCCCUGCGUUUGUGGGUUUCUCGAUAGGCGAACGGGGGAGUAAAACGUGAGUAACCUCCACUUAACUUUGGGGGAACUUCAGGAGACUGGGGCUCAUACCGGGUAGAAUCUCCUGCUGCGUGUUGGGGGAUGGAAAGAGUCGGCGUUUGGGGAUGGAUUCGCUGGUUAUGAGCUUGUUGGGGAGGUAGUGGAUUACCAAGGCUUUGACGGGUAGGCGGCAUGAGAGGGGGACCGGCCACAUUGCGACUGAGAUAGGGAGCAGAAUCCUACGGGCGGCAGUAGGGGGGAACCUUGCGCAACGGCGGCGAGCCUGAGGUAGAAACCCUGCGUGCGGGAUGCUGGCCUACGGGGUGUAAACCGCUGUGGCCGGUGACGAAGCCUGAUUGACGGUAACGGGUCAAGAAGCAACGGCUAACUACGUG
rnacentral:rRNA from 1 species